rnacentral:lncRNA from 1 species
CUCAAGGAGGAGGGAGAGGAGAAAUGAGGAAAAAAAGCCAAAUUUUUUCCUUCAAAGGGUACCUUGGGACAGAGGGAGUGCAGAGCAGAGAAAACCUACCUGUGCAACUGAGAAGGCCGCUCAGGCCACGGGGACCGGGCAGGAAUGCUCUCAGGAGUGUCCUCUGCACCUGAACUUGAUUUCACGCCAUCACCUUCCGCCUCUUAACCAGCAUCUCCUGGACAGUCAGCCGAGUGUUUCCAUGAUACCAGCCAUACCUGAUGCCAGGAGACUCGCUACACUUGGAAGCUCUUCAAGGACUUCUUUUAAGAGAGGUUAGGGAAAGCUUUCAGUUAUAUUUUCUGUCACCUUCCGCAAUUUUAAAUUGGAUGAAAUAGUGGGAGACUUUGUUUUUAUGGCUUUCUCCUUUCAACUAUUGUAACAAACAUAGCUACCUAUGCUUAGCAUGCUUAAAGGCUGGAUGGGACCAUCUCUAUAUUAUGGCCCAAACAAAAUUGGCUUCUGGAACAAGUGUGGCUGUUUUGAACUCGAUCCACUUGAGUCGGAGAUGAGG